UGGGGAAUAUUGGACAAUGGGGGGAACCCUGAUCCAGCAAUGCCGCGUGUGUGAAGAAGGCCUGAGGGUUGUAAAGCACUUUCGGUGGGGAGGAGGUUAUAUAGGUUAAGAGCUGAUAUAAUGGACGUUACCCACAGAAGAAGCACCGGCUAACUCCGUGCCAGCAGCCGCGGUAAUACGGAGGGUGCAAGCGUUAAUCGGAAUUACUGGGCGUAAAGGGUGCGUAGGUUGUUGAUUAAGUUAUCUGUAAAAAGCCUGGGCUUAACCUGGGUCUGUCGGAUGAUACUGAUUGACUAGAGUAUAGGAGAGGGUAGUGGAAUUUCCGGUGUAGCGGUGAAAUGCGUAGAGAUCGGAAGGAACACCAGUGGCGAAGGCGGCUACCUGGCCUGAUACUGACACU
rnacentral:rRNA from 1 species